UAGGUACAGUUAUAGGGUGAGGGGUCCUGUAAUAGAGCAGCGAUAGGUACAGUUAUAGGGUGAGGGGUCCUGUAACAGACCAGUGAUAGGUACAGUUAUAGGGUGACGGAUCCUGUAAUAGAGCAGUGUUAGGUACAGGUAUAGGGUGAGGGGUCCUGUAAUAGAGCAGUGAUAGGUACAGUUAUAGGGUGAGGGGUCCUGUAAUAGACCAGUGAUAGGUACAGUUAUAGGGUGAGGGGUCCUGUAAUAGAGCAGUGAUAGGUACAGUUAUAGGGUGAGGGGUCCUGUAAUAGAGCAGUGAUAGGUACAGUUAUAGGGUGAGGGGUUCUGUAAUAGACCAGCGAUAGGUAUAGUUAUAGGGUGAGGGGUACUGUAAUAGACCAGUGAUAGGUACAGUUAUAAGGUGAGGGGUCCUGUAAUGGAGCAGUGAUAGGUACAGUUAUAGGGUGAGGGGUCCUGUAAUAGAGCAGCGAUAGGUACAGUUAUAGGGUGAGGAGUCCUGUAACAGACCAGUGAUAGGUACAGUUAUAGGGUGAGGGGUUCUCUAAUAGACCAGCGAUAGGUAUAGUUAUAGGGUGAGGGGUGCUGUAAUAGAGCAGUGAUAGGUACAGUUAUAGGGUGAGGGGUCCUGUAAUAGAGCAGCGAUAGGUACAGUUAUAGGGUGAGGGGUCCUGUAACAGACCAGUGAUAGGUACAGUUAUAGGGUGACGGAUCCUGUAAUAGAGCAGUGUUAGGUACAGGUAUAGGGUGAGGGGUCAUGUAACAGACCAGUGAUAGGUACAGUUAUAGGGUGACGGGUCCUGUAAUAGAGCAGUGAUAGGUACAGUUAUAGGGUGACGGGUCCUGUAAUAGAGCAGU